rnacentral:rRNA from 1 species
GCGAACGGGUGAGUAACACGUGAGUAACCUGCCCUUAACUCUGGGAUAAGCCUGGGAAACUGGGUCUAAUACCGGAUAUGACUCCUCAUCGCAUGGUGGGGGGUGGAAAGCUUUUUGUGGUUUUGGAUGGACUCGCGGCCUAUCAGCUUGUUGGUGAGGUAAUGGCUCACCAAGGCGACGACGGGUAGCCGGCCUGAGAGGGUGACCGGCCACACUGGGACUGAGACACGGCCCAGACUCCUACGGGAGGCAGCAGUGGGGAAUAUUGCMCAAUGGGCGCAAGCCUGAUGCAGCGACGCCGCGUGAGGGAUGACGGCCUUCGGGUUGUAAACCUCUUUCAGUAGGGAAGAAGCGAAAGUGACGGUACCUGCAGAAGAAGCGCCGGCUAACUACGUGCCAGCAGCCGCGGUAAUACGUAGGGCGCAAGCGUUAUCCGGAAUUAUUGGGCGUAAAGAGCUCGUAGGCGGUUUGUCGCGUCUGCCGUGAAAGUCCGGGGCUCAACUCCGGAUCUGCGGUGGGUACGGGCAGACUAGAGUGAUGUAGGGGAGACUGGAAUUCCUGGUGUAGCGGUGAAAUGCGCAGAUAUCAGGAGGAACACCGAUGGCGAAGGCAGGUCUCUGGGCAUUAACUGACGCUGAGGAGCGAAAGCAUGGGGAGCGAACAGGAUUAGAUACCCUGGUAGUCCAUGCCGUAAACGUUGGGCACUAGGUGUGGGGGACAUUCCACGUUUUCCGCGCCGUAGCUAACGCAUUAAGUGCCCCGCCUGGGGAGUACGGCCGCAAGGCUAAAACUCAAAGGAAUUGACGGGGGCCCGCACAAGCGGCGGAGCAUGCGGAUUAAUUCGAUGCAACGCGAAGAACCUUACCAAGGCUUGACAUGGACCGGACUGCUGCAGAGAUGUGGUUUCCCCUUUGGGGCCGGUUCACAGGUGGUGCAUGGUUGUCGUCAGCUCGUGUCGUGAGAUGUUGGGUUAAGUCCCGCAACGAGCGCAACCCUCGUUCUAUGUUGCCAGCGCGUGAUGGCGGGGACUCAUAGGAGACUGCCAGGCGGUCAACUCGGAGGAAGGUGGGGACGACGUCAAAUCAUCAUGCCCCUUAUGUCUUGGGCUUCACGCAUGCUACAAUGGCCGGUACAAAGGGUUGCGAUACUGUGAGGUGGAGCUAAUCCCAAAAAGCCGGUCUCAGUUCGGAUUGGGGUCUGCAACUCGACCCCAUGAAGUCGGAGUCGCUAGUAAUCGCAGAUCAGCAACGCUGCGGUGAAUACGUUCCCGGGCCUUGUACACACCGCCCGUCAAGUCACGAAAGUUGGUA